rnacentral:rRNA from 1 species
GAGGAAUAUUGGUCAAUGGGCGAGAGCCUGAACCAGCCAAGUAGCGUGCAGGAUGACGGCCCUAUGGGUUGUAAACUGCUUUUGUAUGGGGAUAAAGUCAGUCACGUGUGAUUGUUUGCAGGUACCAUACGAAUAAGGACCGGCUAAUUCCGUGCCAGCAGCCGCGGUAAUACGGAAGGUCCGGGCGUUAUCCGGAUUUAUUGGGUUUAAAGGGAGCGUAGGCUGGAGAUUAAGUGUGUUGUGAAAUGUAGACGCUCAACGUCUGACUUGCAGCGCAUACUGGUUUCCUUGAGUACGCACAACGUUGGCGGAAUUCGUCGUGUAGCGGUGAAAUGCUUAGAUAUGACGAAGAACUCCGAUUGCGAAGGCAGCUGACGGGAGCGCAACUGACGCUUAAGCUCGAAGGUGCGGGUAUCGAACAGGAUUAGAUACCCUGGUAGUCCGCACAGUAAACGAUGGAUGCCCGCUGUUGGUACCUGGUAUCAGCGGCUAAGCGAAAGCAUUAAGCAUCCCACCUGGGGAGUACGCCGGCAACGGUG